AUUGAACGCUGGCGGCAGGCCUAACACAUGCAAGUCGAACGAGUGGCGGACGGGUGAGUAAUGUUUGGGACUCUCCCUUAUGGAGGGGGAUAACUCCGGGAACCGGUAGCUAAUCCCGCGUACCAUAGGAUGAGCCCAGGUUGGAUUAGGUAGUUGGUGAGGUAAAGGCUCACCAAGGCGACGAUCGCUAGCUGGUCUGAGAGGAUGACCAGCCACACUGGAACUGAGACACGGUCCAGACUCCUACGGGAGGCAGCAGUGGGGAAUAUUGCGCAAUGGGCGCAAGCCUGACGCAGCCAUGCCGCGUGAAUGAAGAAGGCCUUCGGGUUGUAAAGUUCUUUCAGUAGGGAGGCGUUAACUACAGAAGAAGCACCGGCUAACUACGUGCCAGCAGCCGCGGUAAUAC
rnacentral:rRNA from 1 species